rnacentral:rRNA from 1 species
AACGUAGGACGCAAGCGUUAUCCGGAGUUACUGGGCGUAAAGCGCGGGCAGGCGGCUCGAAACGUCUGAUGUGAAAUCUCCUCGCUCAACGGGGAGAGGCCAUUGGAAACGGUCGAGCUGGAGGGCAGUAGAGGUAGGCGGAAUUCCGGGUGGAGUGGUGAAAUGCGUAGAGAUCAGCAGGAACACCCGUGGUGAAGGCGGCCCCCUGGGCCGUACCUGACGCUGAGGCGCGAAAGCGUGGGGAGCAAACAGG